GAUGAACGCUGGCGGCGUGCCUAAUACAUGCAAGUCGAGCGAACAGACGAGGAGCUUGCUCCUCUGACGUUAGCGGCGGACGGGUGAGUAACACGUGGAUAACCUACCUAUAAGACUGGGAUAACUUCGGGAAACCGGAGCUAAUACCGGAUAAUAUAUUGAACCGCAUGGUUCAAUAGUGAAAGACGGUUUUGCUGUCACUUAUAGAUGGAUCCGCGCCGCAUUAGCUAGUUGGUAAGGUAACGGCUUACCAAGGCGACGAUGCGUAGCCGACCUGAGAGGGUGAUCGGCCAAACUGGAACUGAGACACGGUCCAGACUCCUACGGGAGGCAGCAGUAGGGAAUCUCCCGCAAUGGGCGAAAGCCUGACGGAGCAACGCCGCGUGAGUGAUGAAGGUCUUCGGAUCGUAAAACUCUGUUAUUAGGGAAGAACAAAUGUGUAAGUAACUAUGCACGUCUUGACGGUACCUAAUCAGAAAGCCACGGCUAACUACGUG
rnacentral:rRNA from 1 species